GGGUCCUUGAGUGCAAGUGAAUAAUUAUGUUGCAUCGAGCCUAUUCUGGUCGCAACGGGUCUUACCUUUCCAAGGUCAGGUAAUGCAAGGAGGGGGAAAAACAAAAACAGAAAAGAUGAAGAAUCUCGCCACACACUCACCGUUGGUAGAGAACAUGUUGUCAAACUCGAUGAUGAGGUCAUCAUCGCGGUCGAACCUCUCGAAGCGAAUGUGCGGUGCAGAGUUGAUGUCCGGGAAGUCUUCGUCCAGUUCCAUCUCUGAGCCUUCGUCAUCGUCCUCCUCAUCUCCUUCUUCGUCAUCCUGAAAGCAAGUAGUGAGCGAUUAGUGUCGUUAAAAGGAACGCAUCAAGAUAAAAGGAACGCCGCGGGCCAGUGGGCAGCACUCACCUGAUCCUCCUCCUCUUCCUCCUCCUCCUCUUCUUCCUCGUCCUGGCUGUCUUCAUCCUCGUUGCUGCCGCUGGAGUCUUCCUCCUGAGUGUGCUCCUCAUCCUCGGGCUCCAGGAUGUUCAUGGAGUCUGCACAGCAGAUGAGCAUAUUAGAAGGAAACACUUCACUGAGGAGACAGCUCCUCUGACCUAGCAACCAUUGCACCAUUACACUGAAUUCCCUCUCCUUUGUAGGUCGCUUUGGAUAAAAGUGUCUGCUAAAUGACUAAAUGUAAAUGUAAAUUCUGGGGGGGAAAACAGCGCUCCAGGCAUUAAAUCUGUAAUUCCCAAUGCAUAGGUUGGUGAAAGUGAACAAUAGUGUCACACACGGUUAAAGACUUCAGGCGGAUUUUAGGUUCAGGACAAAGUGAAUACCCUCUCUGUUGGCCUGUAGUGUGGAGGCUUGACUCAUGUUGGAAGGAGCUUCAUCCAUUAGCACAUCCUCUUGUGAUUCGUCUUCUCCACUGGGUCCAACUGACAGACAAGACAAACAGCCAAUAAGAAAACACAUCUCCUCCUCACCCGCACUUUCUUUGUUGACACCGAGUGUUCUAUAAAACACUUACCGAUAAUGGUGCUAUUGACAGUGCCGGGGUCCCUCUCCAGAAGUUCAUCGAUCAAAUCCACCAGUUCAUUCUCCACCUGCGGAAACACAAAGCACGACGGACAGGUGCGUCAGGUAUGCUUGAGUGGGAUCGCUCAUAUGACGUAAGUAAUGAAGAGAAGUAUGUCUAGGGUGCGUACUCUCAUGCAGCGAACGACAGGUGAGCCCACCUGCAUGGCCUGUGUGCUGAGGACCUCGGGCUGCCCGGCGAUCACCACCGUGUCUCCCUCCGUCUCCCCGUCCAUCAGGUCCACGUCCGUCCCCUGGCCGCGGUGACGGCUCUCCACAGGUUCCGCCUCACCCACUUCACCUGAGGGACGAGACAGCAGUGGGGUUACAAAGGGGGUUACUAAGGGCCACUAAACUACACAGCAGUGGUGUUAUUAAACUAAACUACACAGCAGUGGUGUUAUUAAACUACACAGCAGUGCAGUGGUGCUAUUAAACUAAACUACACAGCAGUGGUGCUAUUAAACUAAAC
ensembl:lncRNA